rnacentral:lncRNA from 1 species
AUAUAUAAAUUUUGUGGUAUUUAAGCUUAUAUUUUGUGAGAUAUGAAGAAGGUUGCAUGCAGGUGUAUGAAGACAAGGGUUUAAAGUGACUAUUAGGAUUUUCAAGAUAUCUCAAGGUCUGCAAUGAAUUUGCAAUUGAAAUUUAUUGUAGAAGUUAAUAACAAUAUAUAAAUACAUCAUAUAAAAUUUGAAUUUGUUUGAACAAUCGG